AAGAAUGCGAUAUGCAAUGUGAAUUGCAGAACCACGAAUCAUCGGAUCUUUGAACGCAACUAGCGCUGACAAAAUCAGCAUACUUGUUUCAGUGUGUCCAAACAAAUAAACAACAAAAAUGUGAGAGAAGUUCUCUCAUGAAGAAAAUGCUCUCUGCAGCAGUCACAAUCUUUUGUGAGCUGUAAAGAAACAUAAAGCCUUAUGUACACCUGAAAUCAAGUAAGAUGACCCGCUGGACUUAA
rnacentral:misc_RNA from 1 species